rnacentral:rRNA from 1 species
CCUACGGUGGCUGCAGUGGGGAAUAUUGGACAAUGGGCGAAAGCCUGAUCCAGCCAUGCCGCGUGUGUGAAGAAGGCCUUCGGGUUGUAAAGCACUUUCAGUGGGGAAGAAAGCCUUGGGGCUAAUACCCUCGAGGAAGGACAUCACCCACAGAAGAAGCACCGGCUAACUCCGUGCCAGCAGCCGCGGUAAUACGGAGGGUGCGAGCGUUAAUCGGAAUUACUGGGCGUAAAGCGCGCGUAGGCGGUCUGAUAAGCCGGUUGUGAAAGCCCCGGGCUCAACCUGGGAACGGCAUCCGGAACUGUCAGGCUAGAGUGCAGGAGAGGAAGGUAGAAUUCCCGGUGUAGCGGUGAAAUGCGUAGAGAUCGGGAGGAAUACCAGUGGCGAAGGCGGCCUUCUGGACUGACACUGACGCUGAGGUGCGAAAGCGUGGGUAGCAAACAGGAUUAGAUACCCCAGUGUC